GUAAGCAAAUGGUGAGGGCCCAUAAUUAGGGCAGAACCAACAUCCCCCGCCCCGCAAGGAAACUCAGAAGUCUCAGCACUCGGCAGUAGCCGUUUCUCAGCAACGGUCACCUGCAGCCUCGGCAACAGCGCAGCAGUCUCAGCAGUAGCCUCCGGAAUACAGCUAAUAUAGUUCUUAAACUGCGGCAAACUACCCAUUGUUUCCUCUCCUUCACUCUGGCAACGAGGAUGCCGAGCGUUUGCCGGAAUGGAGGUUACGGCGAGUGCUUCUCCAUUAAAAGGGUUUUUUGUUGACAAUGAGGAGAGGUUCUGCUAACAAUGGAUUUGUUUGAUUGCCCCUUGUCGUGCACACAGCCGUAGCCACCAGAGGCUAGAAAGGCUGUUCCUACUGUCUUUCUACUUCUCUUGCGCUUCUGUGUCUCUCCCUCUCUGCCUCUCACUGUCACUAUUUUCGAGAUAGAGAGGUGAACAUACUUCUUCGUCCUAUCCGUGGAAAGCUUGGGCACUAGAACUCCUCUAAUUCAACUUGUCGUUCCAAGAAGCAAGCAUACUUCUUCCUUCUUGGCAUUGAGCGGACCCUUGGAUGAUUGUUUGAAACUGUUGAGAGGCCAGUGGGAUGAGCAAAAGCUGGUCGGUCUCCUCACCUCAAAAAUCUGUCAUGGGGACGACACAACUGCUGUUCUAAAGGUCUAUGAUGCUGUCGGUGCUUGUUUUCUUCAGAGACUCAUCUUAACUGGUAUGGGAAAGGGAUCUGGUGGGUUUGGUAGCGCCGAGGAUAAAGAGCCAUAUUCGAGGCUCUCCAUCACCCUUCUUACUGCAUUGUGUCGGGUGCCAGAAAUUGCUUCAUAUGAGGAAAUGGUCUCUAAAGUUCCUCUUGUAGCUGAAAUAGUUACAAAAUCGUCUGACCCUUGUUGCUGUUGCUUCGGAUAGUGGAAGAGCAAAGUUUUAUCAACCUGGAGUCAAUUACCUGUUGCUCUUGCUUUGGAUGCAGGUCUGACCCUUUUUUUGAAUACUCUAAAUGGGACAAUACUUUUUAUCUUGCGGUAGUCAAUUACUCUAGGAAUUCUAUAUUUUUGGAGUUUUCUUUUCCCUUUAUUUACUGUGUUAUGUUGAGGCGCGUAACACACUAUCGUCAAUUAAUUUUGUAAUGCCUUGUUUUUGUACCAAAUGUUCUGUAGGGUCUCAGACUACAAAAAAACGAAAAUGUACGGUAUUUAAUGUACAUGAUCAAAUACUUGGUUUAAUGUGGUAAGACAUUUAAUAAGCUGCAAGCGCUCGCCGCUUUGGAACGUGAGCACACCGAACCACCUUAAACGCAGGGGUGUGUGCUGGCGACGUUUUUAACGUCAAUUUUAAUGUAACGGUGAGGGUAUGAUGACACAUUUUUUACUUCUAGAUCCAACAGUCAUCUUAGAAUACCACGGAGAAUGAAAAGUCACUUCGUAAAUUAUCCUUGCCAAAGCUUUUAAUGGUGGCGAUUUGAUGGUGGCUGUUUUUGUCUAGCACACUCAUCGGAUGGUAGAGAGAAGAUCCCUACAAUUGAUGACUUAGAGAAAUUGUGCGAUAUCGUCAUCAUAGUCUUCUACCUCUCGUUACUAUUUUUGUUGCCUUUCAUUGUUGUGUUCUUGCGCUCUUCUCCUUUCUCCAUCGUCUGUGCCUCUUUUGUCCUUGCAAAGAUAAGUAAGUUGUGACUCCUCCAACUAAUUUUUUCCCUCCUUUCUCUGCUCUUCCGCUUCCUUCUUUUUUCCUCUGCGACUAUGACUGUUGGUAGAUCCUUCAUUAGGUGGUAUGAGACUCAAUGGGUGAUUUUCCCUGAGGUUGCAGGACCAACUAUGGGAGCUUUACGCCAUUCUGUUAGACAAUGAGAUUAGGAUUCCCCAACGAGAUAAUCGACCUAAUAUUCCUCCUCCCGAUUUUAUUACUUUCUUCUAUGGUCAAUUGAUAGGCGACUCAAGGUUUCCCAUUCCCUCUGUACAAGAUUUAGCUCAUUAUUUUUGUAUCUCCUUAUCUCAUAUGCAACCACCGUAUGAUUUGCUGCGUAUCCAUCAUCUUCCGGAUAUAUGACAUUCCCCUUAACGAAUUUAUCUUCUAAUAUCUUUUUUACAUUCAGUCUGCCGAACCUGGAACCUUCAUUUUACUGCCAGGAAUAAAUGUAAAUUUUUGAGUGACUGUCCAACCUCCAGCAAACUAUGGAAAGAUCGAUUCUUUUUCAUUAAACUACCUAAACCCUAUACUUAGCCUACUCUCUGGCUCGACGAACUCCACAAUCAACUUAAGUUGGGAGACUACAAAUCGGAACCAGUAUACUUGGAGACGACCUUCAUUCUUAAGGACCUAAUGUUCAACGCAAUCCUCUUGGUGAAGAAUGAGGUGUUGCUUCAUCUGGUCGGGUUGAGCCCAAAAAAUGCAGCUUGGGUGAGGUUUUCAUGUCUAGUAGAUUUCUUUUUGUAUUAACUAUCCUUUUUUUGUCUUGUAAAGUAAACUUUGUAUGACUCUUCUAUCAGGAAGAAACUGAACUGGGAGUUGACUCCCCAGCGACUUGCUCAUGUUGAUGAAUAAAGCUAGGGAGUCUCAUUAGGUGUUAGUUUUUCUUCCUUCUCUAGUGUCCAACAUUGUUAAUAGUGAGGGUGAUACCGGCUCUCAUGCGAUGCUAUAUUCUCCGGCAUUCGCAGCUUCUACCCAUGUGAAUGAUCUGACAGAGUCACCUGAGACAAGUGCUCCAUUAGAAUUUUGCUCUCAGGGAAAAGGGAUGGUCAUACAACAAUCAUCCCCUCUUAAUCUUUCUACCCCUAGUGGGAGUCAAGGGCGUAUUACGAAGCCAAGGCCCAGGAGAAACAUCAUCGAGAGCUUGGAGGCCAAAUAUAUCAUGUGGACGACCUUGCUGAGGUGGUUGCUGAAGGGAGAGCUAUGAAGAAGAAGAGAUCUGUUAGACCAAUUAAAGGGCCUGCUUCAGUGCCUUCCUUCAGGAAGAGUGACCCUCCUUUAGCGGGGGAAAUUUAUCUUAUCCUCAAAGACAUAACUCCGGAGAAGUAUUGUCAAAUGCGGGAGCGAGAGCUAGGGAUAACCCCUCAAGCCACUAGUCAUUCGCUUCCUCUCCCCCAUGUGCCAACUAAGUCAGAGGCUUUAGGCAUUGGUCAGAUGUCUUCUCCUGUCGACGCUGAACAGCGUUACCCCUCUAACUUGGCCUCUCUCAGACUCGAGGCAGCCAACGGACAGAGGAGACUCAAUCCCUUUCUUGAAGAGCAAUUGAAAUAUUAUAAGGAGUAUCUGAUACCUAGCAUGAGUAUUCUUAAGCUAAUGGAAUGCUCAACUUUCUUUGAUCGAAAGGUAUCACAUCCUCCUUGUAAUAUUUCAAUUGCUCUUCAAGAGAAGGGAUGAGUCCCUUCUGUUCGCCGGUUGCCUUAAGUUUGAGAGAAGCUAAGUUAGAGGAGAAAUCCUGUUCAGCGUCGACAGGAGGAGACAUCUGACCAAUGCCUAAAGCUUCUGUCUCAGUUGGCAUAUAGGGGAGAGGCGGCGAUUUGCUUGUGGGUUGAGGGAUUAUCGGCAUAUAGGGGAGAGGCCUUAGCUCUCGCUCUUGCAUUUGACAACACAUUUCCCGAGCUAUGUCUUUGAGGGUAAGGUAAAUUUCUCUUGCUGAAGGAAUGUCACUCUUCCUUAAGGAAGGUGCUGAAGCAAGCUCUUUGAGGGUCUAAUAGGAUCAUCUUAUUCUUUGCAGCUCCUGCUUCAGCAGCCACCUCUGCAAGGUCGUCCAUAGGAGAUAUUUGGCCUCCCGACUCUCGAUAAUGUUUCUCCUUGGCCUUAGCUUCGUGAAUCUGCACUUGACUCCCACCAGGGGUAGAAAGGUUAGGAGGAGAUGAUUGCCGUAGGACUAACCUUGUUCCUCGAGAGCGAAACUCUGAUGGAGCUCUUGCCUCAGGUGACUCUGUUAGAUCAGUCACAUGGGUAGAAGCUGUGAUUGUCGGAGAAUAUAGCAUCGCAUGAGUGACGGUAUCGGGGCUGACUCAGACCCUUCACUAUUAAUGAUGUCGGACACUAGAGAAGGAGGAUAAACUGGCGCCUAAUAAGACACCCACCUCUAUCCAUCGACAUAAGCUGGUCGUUGUUGGAUGUCAACUCCCAGUUCAGUUUCUCGCUGAUGGAAGUGUCAUAUAAAGUUUUCUUUGCAAUACAAAGAAAGGAUGGUUAAUACAAAAAGAAAACUACUAGACAUGAAAAUCUCACCCAAGCUGUCGGCCAGCGACAUAUUUUUUGGGCUGAACCCGACCAGAUGAAGCAACAUUCAACAUUAGGUCCUUGAGAAUGAAAGUCGUCUCUAAGUUUAGGUCGUUUAAUGAAAAAGAAUCGAUCUUUUCAUACUUUGUUGGAGGUUGGACAGUCACCCAAAAAUUUACAUUUAUUCCUGGUAGUAAAAUAAAGGUUCCAAGUUCGGGAGGCCGAAUGUAAAAAUGAUAAUGGAAGAUAACUUCGUUAAGGGGAAUGCCAUAUAUCCGGAAGAUGAUCGAUAUGCCGCAAAUCAUACGGUAGGAGUUGGGUUGCAGUUGAGAUACCGAAAUAAUGAGCUAAAUCUUGUAUGGAGGGGAUGGGAAAUCGUAAGCCGUCUAUCAAUUGACCAUAGAAGAAAGUAGUAAAAUCGGGAGGAGAAAUGUUAGGUCGAUGAUCUCGUCGGGGAAUCCUAAUCUCAUGGUCUAACGGAAUGAUGUAAAACUUUCGUAGUUUGGGUCUUGCAACUUCAAGGAGAAUCGUCCAUUGAGUCGCAUACCACCUGAUUGAGGAUCUACUAGCAAAUAUAGUUGCAGAGGAAAAAAGAAGCGGAAGAGCAGAGAAAUGGAGGGAAAAAUCCAGUUGAAGGAGUCACAACUUACUUAUCUUUGCAGGGAUAGAAGACAGAAGAUGGAGAAAGGAGUUAGAAGAAGACUCUAACGGUGGUAUUGUCCUCAAUUGUAGGGAUCUUCCUACCAACCACCAUUAAAAACUUUGACAGGGAUAACUUACGAGGUGACUUUUCAUUCUCUGUGAUAUUCUAAGAUGACUAUUGGAUCUAGAAGUAAAAAAUGUGUCACCAUACCCUCACCGUUAGAUUAAAAAUGUCGCCAACACACACCUCUGCAUUUAAGGCGGUUCGGUAUGCUCGCGGUCCAAAGCGGAGAGCGCCUGCAGCUCAUGAAAUGCCUUACCACAUUAAAUUACCAAGCAUUUGAUCAUGUACAUUAAAUACCGCACCUUUUCGUUUCUUUUGUAGUCGAGACCCCACAUAACAUUUGGAGCAGAACCGAGGUAUUAUAAAAUUAAUUGACGAUAGUGUGUUACGCCUCAGCAUAACACAAUAUAUGAAGAAAAAAAAAGAAUUCCAAAAAUAUAGAGUUCCUGGAGUAAUUGAUUAUCAUAAGAGAAAAGUACUGCCACACCUAGAGUAUUCAAAAAAACCAACAAAGCAUAAAGCUUACUUAUCUACUUUAAAGGGCAGAUACAGUUCUACAAGAAGUAGGUAGGAGUGUAAUGGAGAUAAACCCUUUAUUGAUACGAUAGAAUCUAAAGUUGUCAUAAGAUCCAUUGAAAGAAGUUCACAAAAGAAAUCACAAUUUUUAUGAUAAAAUCUGAUGUAAGCCUAGCAGAACCAUUGGAUUAAAGUUUUCUAAGCCUUUUUCAGCAAGUAAGAAUUCUUGAUCAGACUAGAUCAUGAAAUUCGGUUAUGGAGGCGAUUUUAACUUGGUAAGUUGUAUCCAUCGGGUUUAAGCAGAUCUACCGGUGAUAUGCCAUAUAACAAUUUGAAGUAAUCUCAGACGAACACUAUGUAAUUCUGAGUAUCAAA